UGUCAUUAAUACUUGAAUCGUUUGCGAACACACGUUCUGCUGCUACUCCAGUCACUGAACACAAAGAGUACAGAAUUCAAAACCGCCAUGAAAGUGAUACGUCUUUAGGGCGUCCAAGAACAGCCGUCCAGACACGUUACCUCCUGGUCAGCAAUGCAUCUUGGAGAAUUCCCAUAAACCCAUCAGCAUUCACUAGACCCGAUAUGGGUUAACUGCACACCGAAAGUAUCUACUUGAUAGCGAGGUAACAGAGAGUCUACUUAAGUAAGUGGCACAGACGGGGUAGUUUUUACCUUUGUGGGAACAAUGGUGGAGUUGUAGGAGCAAAAACUGGCUGCAUUACUGAAAAACACAAAUCAAUCUGGAACGAAGCAGGGUCGAGCGGAAAGAACGUUUCCUAUAAGGCUCAUUUGCUACAAUAUUACCAAAACAACAGCUAUUAAUUUUAUGUCGGUAAUUUAUUGUCAAUUAAGAAAUUAAAUGCAUGCCUGUAUAAUAUGUACUACAAUAAAAUAUUUAUUUAUUUAAGUUUCCACAUUGUAUGGCCAUUGAAACAUUGGAGCAUUGAAACAAUGUAUGUAAUUUAUAAAAGCGUUGCGGAAUAAAUUCGUCGUAGAAAAUGUUUUUUAGUUUAUAUGGGUUUUAUA